rnacentral:rRNA from 1 species
UAGGGAAUCUUCCGUAAUGGGCGAAAGCCUGACGGAGCAAUGCCGCGUGAGUGAAGAAGGCCUUCGGGUCGGAAAACUCUGUUAUAAGAGAAGAACAAAUUGUAGAGUAACUGCUACAGUCUUGACGGUAUCUUAUCAGAAAGCCACGGCUAACUACGUGCCAGCAGCCGCGGUAAUACGUAGGUGGCAUGCGUUGUCUGGAUUUAUUGGGCGUAAAGGGAGCGCAGGUGGUUUCUUAAGUCUGAUGUGAAAGCCCACGGCUUAACCGUGGAGGGUCAUUGGAAACUGGGAAACUUGAGUACAGAAGAGGAAUGUGGAACUCCAUGUGUAGCGGUGGAAUGCGUAGAUAUAUGGAAGAACACCAGUGGCGAAGGCGACAUUCUGGUCUGUUACUGACACUGAGGCUCGAAAGCGUGGGGAGCAAACAGG